CUGGAACGCGCCCCAGGCGCACCCAGAAACCCUUUGUGAACUUAUACCUUACUGUUGCCUCGGCGCAUGCCGGCCCCCCCAGGGGCCCCUCGGAGACGAGGAGCAGGCACGCCGGCGGCCAAGUUAACUCUUGUUUUUACACUGAAACUCUGAGAAGAAAAAAACAAAAUGAAUCA
rnacentral:misc_RNA from 1 species